GACGAACGCUGGCGGCGUGCUUAACACAUGCAAGUCGAACGGUGAAGGGCCCGGUUUUUGCUGGUUCUGGAUGAGGGGCGAACGGGUGAGUCACACGUGAGUAACCUGCCCCCUUCUUCUGGAUAACCGCAUGAAAGUGUGGCUCAUACGGGAUAUUCUGCGCCUGCUGCAUGGUGGGUGUGGGAAAGGUAUUGUUUCGGUGGGGGAUGGGCUGGCGGCCUAUCAGCUUGUUGGUGGGGUGAUGGGCUAUCAAGGGGGUGGCGGUUAGCCGGCCUGAGCGGGUGGACGGCCACACGGGGACAGAGACCCGGCCGAGACUGAGACGGGGGGCAGCAGUGUGGAAGAUGGCACAGUGGGGGAAAGCGUGAUGCAGCGACGCCGCGUGAGGGAUGGAGGCCUUCGGGUUGUAAACCUCUUUCGGUAGUGAAGCAGGCCUGUCCCUUUUGUGGGUGGGUUGACGGUAGCUGGAAAAGAAGCGCCGGCUAACUACGUG
rnacentral:rRNA from 1 species